UACGUAGGGUGCGAGCGUUGUCCGGAAUUAUUGGGCGUAAAGGGCUCGUAGGCGGUUUGUCGCGUCGGGAGUGAAAACACCGGGCUUAACUCGGCGCUUGCUUUCGAUACGGGCAGACUAGAGGCAUGCAGGGGAGAACGGAAUUCCUGGUGUAGCGGUGAAAUGCGCAGAUAUCAGGAGGAACACCGGUGGCGAAGGCGGCAUCCUGGACCGGCAUUGACGCUGAGGAGCGAAAGCCAGGGGAGCAAACGGG
rnacentral:rRNA from 1 species